GUCAGGAUGGCUGAGCGGUCUAAGGCGCUGUGGUCGCAGUCGCAGUCUCCCAUGGAGGCGUGGGUUCAAAUCCCACUUCUGACA